CGCGAAGGGUGAGUAAGGCGACGGUAACCAACCCCAGGACUGGGUAUAGCCGCGGGAAACUGCGGGUAAUCCCCAGCGAUGUCACGAAGGGGCAUCUCUUUGUGACCAAAGCUCCGGCGUCGUGGGACGGGCCGUCGUGGUAUUAGGUUGUUGGCGGGGUAACGGCCCACCAAGCCUCUGAUGCCUACCGGGCGUGCGAGCGUGGCCCGGCACACUGGGACUGAGACACUGCCCAG
rnacentral:rRNA from 1 species